UAAAGAAUUUCGGUUAUCGAUGGGGAUGCGUUCCAUUAGUUAGUUGGCGGGGUAACGGCCCACCAAGACGACGAUGGAUAGGGGUUCUGAGAGGAAGGUCCCCCACAUUGGAACUGAGACACGGUCCAAACUCCUACGGGAGGCAGCAGUGAGGAAUAUUGGUCAAUGGACGAGAGUCUGAACCAGCCAAGUAGCGUGAAGGAUGACUGCCCUAUGGGUUGUAAACUUCUUUUAUAUGGGAAUAAAACAGGGUAUGCAUACCCUCUUGUAUGUACCAUAUGAAUAAGGAUCGGCUAACUCCGUGCCAGCAGCCGCGGUAAUACGGAGGAUCCGAGCGUUAUCCGGAUUUAUUGGGUUUAAAGGGAGCGUAGGUGGAUUGUUAAGUCAGUUGUGAAAGUUUGCGGCUCAACCGUAAAAUUGCAGUUGAAACUGGCAGUCUUGAGUACAGUAGAGGUGGGCGGAAUUCGUGGUGUAGCGGUGAAAUGCUUAGAUAUCACGAAGAACUCCGAUUGCGAAGGCAGCUCACUAGACUGCAACUGACACUGAUGCUCGAAAGUGUGGGUAUCAAACAGGAUUAGAUACCCUGGUAGUCCACACAGUAAACGAUGAAUACUCGCUGUUUGCGAUAU
rnacentral:rRNA from 1 species